GCUCCGUAAACCUUGAUGGUGAAGUCCCGCCUCGUAAGCGGGGUCAAGAGGGUUCGAGUCCUUCACGGAGCU
rnacentral:tRNA from 1 species